rnacentral:tRNA from 1 species
UGUGGCUUAGUGGUAGAGUGCGUGCCUAGCAUGCAUGAAGCCCUGGGUUCGAUUCCCCAGUA